rnacentral:rRNA from 1 species
UAACAAGGAUUCCCUCAGUAACGGCGAGUGAAGCGGGAAGAGCUCAAAUUUAAAAUCUGGUUUACUUGUAAGCCCGAGUUGUAGUCUGAAGAAACGUUUUCCAUAAGCACUGAGGCAAAAGUCCCUUGGAACAGGGCAUCAUAGAGGGUGAGAAUCCCGUCCAUGGUCUCAAGUUGUUUAUUUUGUGAUACGUUUUCAAAGAGUCAGGUUGUUUGGGAAUGCAGCCUAAAAUGGGUGGUAAAUUUCAUCUAAAGCUAAAUAUUGGCGAGAGACCGAUAGCGAACAAGUACCGUGAGGGAAAGAUGAAAAGAACUUUGAAAAGAGAGUUAACACAGUACGUGAAAUUGUUGAAAGGGAACCCGUUUGAAGCCAGUCUUACUUGCUCGUGAUCAAUUUUUGGCUCGGCAUGAAUGCACUCUCGGGUAUGGUAGGCCAACGACAGUUUAGAAUGCGAGAAAAAAAUAGGGGAAAUGUGGCCUUCGGGUGUUAUAGUCCCUUAUAAAAUAUCGUGUUCUGGACUGAGGAUCGCAGCAAAAAUGUGGGCAGGUGGAUUUCUGUGGUAACUGUCGGUUAGGACAACUUGUUGACCUAGUCUUCCUUAGCCUCACUAUUUACCUUGCUUCUAAUUUGCUUAGGUCGUUGGCAUAAUGGCUUUAAAUGA